rnacentral:rRNA from 1 species
UACGAAGGGGGCUAGCGUUGCUCGGAAUUACUGGGCGUAAAGCGUGCGCAGGCGGUUUUGUAAGUCUGAUGUGAAAUCCCCGGGCUCAACCUGGGAAUUGCGUUGGAGACUGCAAGGCUAGAAUCUGGCAGAGGGGGGUAGAAUUCCACGUGUAGCAGUGAAAUGCGUAGAGAUGUGGAGGAACACCGAUGGCGAAGGCAGCCCCCUGGGUCAAGAUUGACGCUCAUGCACGAAAGCGUGGGGAGCAAACAGG